rnacentral:rRNA from 1 species
GACGGAGGGGGCAAGCGUUGUUCGGAAUUAUUGGGCGUAAAGGGCUCGUAGGCUGGCGUGUAAGUCUGGCGUGAAAUCUCCACCGCUCACCGGGGAGAGGCCGCUGGAUACUGCACGUCUGGAGUUCGGCAGAGGACCAUGGAAUUUCGGGUGUAGCGGUGGAAUGCGUAGAUAUCAAGAGGAACACCUGAGGUGAAGACGGGUUGCUGGGCUGAUACUGACGCUGAAGCGCGAAAGCUAGGGUAGCAAACGGG